AGUGAACGCUGGCGGUAGGCCUAACACAUGCAAGUCGAACGGCAGCACAGUAAGAGCUUGCUCUUACGGGUGGCGAGUGGCGGACGGGUGAGGAAUACAUCGGAAUCUACUUUUUCGUGGGGGAUAACGUAGGGAAACUUACGCUAAUACCGCAUACGACCUACGGGUGAAAGCAGGUGAUCUUCGGACCUUGCGCGAUUGAAUGAGCCGAUGUCGGAUUAGCUAGUUGGCGGGGUAAAGGCCCACCAAGGCGACGAUCCGUAGCUGGUCUGAGAGGAUGAUCAGCCACACUGGAACUGAGACACGGUCCAGACUCCUGCGGGAGGCAGCAGUGGGGAAUAUUGGACAAUGGGCGCAAGCCUGAUCCAGCCAUACCGCGUGGGUGAAGAAGGCCUUCGGGUUGUAAAGCCCUUUUGUUGGGAAAGAAAAGCAGCAGGUUAAUACCCCGCUGUUCUGACGGUACCCAAAGAAUAAGCACCGGCUAACUUCGUG
rnacentral:rRNA from 1 species